rnacentral:rRNA from 1 species
UUGCGGUUAAAAAGCUCGUAGUUGGAUUUCUGUCGGUGAGGUGCAGUCCGGCCUUUGUGUUGUGUACUUGUACCGCCACCGGCAUCUUCCUAGGGACUGUGUCUGCUCUUCAUUGAGUGGCGCAUAAUCUAGGACUUUUACUUUGAGGAAAUAGGAGUGUUUCAAGCAGGCAUGCGCCGUGAACACGUUAGCAUGGAAUAAUAGCAUCGGACCUCGCUCCAAAGCUGUUGGUUUCUUGGAACGAGGUAAAGGUGAAUAGGGAUUGUUGGGGGCAUUCGUAUUUAACUGUCAGAGGUGAAAUUCUUGGAUUUGUUGAAGACGGACUACUGCGAAAGUAUCUGCCAAAGAUGUUCUCAUUGAUCAAGAACGAAAGUUAGGUGAUCGAAGACGAUCAGAUACCGUCCUAGUCUUAACCAUAAACUAUGCCGACUGGAGAUCGGGGGU